rnacentral:ncRNA from 1 species
AAUCCAGCCUGGCCAAAGGCUAACCACCAGGCCAGAACAGAACUUUGCGUGUAAGGAGGUAACGAAUUAUGCGAAGCCAAAGGAAAGGCGGUUUGUCGGCUACAACGCAAGUGAAGGUGUUGAGCCCCGAAAUAUACGAUGUUGUAGAUGCUGACGUUUUUCAUUAUGCGGAAAGCAACACGAAGGAUGACGUUAUGGUAAGUCGUCACUUGGUCUACCGAGGUCUAAGUC